GUCCAUGUAGCUUACUUCCAAAGCAUGGCACUGAAGAUGCCAAGACGGUCCCCCACACACCCAAGGACA
rnacentral:tRNA from 2 species